CAACUUUCAGCAAUGGAUCUCUUGGCUCUUGCAUCGAUGAAGAACGCAGCGAAUUGCGAUAAGUAAUGUGAAUUGCAGAUUUUCAGUGAAUCAUCGAAUCUUUGAACGCACCUUGCGCUCUUCGGUAUUCCGAAGAGCAUGCCUGUUUGAGUGUC
rnacentral:rRNA from 1 species